GACUAGCAUUCACCAAGGAUGAACUGAAAGCAGGAUCUGUCUCACCAUACACUGAGAACUGUAGAAUAUGCAAGGCACAUGGAACUUAUUUUCUUACGUAUAAAAGCGUGUAUAUGCUCCUUAUACAUCUGUCCUAAUGCUUUCCAACAGUCCUCACUCUAAGCCUCACCAAGACCCAGAUGAGGAAACAAAGGCACAGAGGGAUAAACUCAGAGCAGGAAGACAGCAAGGAAUAGCAGUGAAAAGCAUGGUGCUUAAUCCAACCCCUUACUCACUGCUGAGACCUGGAAAUGUGUUCAUCAGCUACAAAACAGGAGAGAUGAUAACUCAUUAUGUAUAUGUGAUGAUAAACAGAGACAAUAUAUUGAAGAGCUUAUAUGAGUGGCAGACACGGGACAUGCUUCCCUGUGGCUGGCCAGCGUGUCAUCUUCUCCAUGUGUCCAGAGAAAAGCUUUGCAAAUCAACCUCUCGAUGAAUGAUGACGGCACCAGUGAAAUCAGGGGAGGCAGAAAAUCAUGUUAGUUUGGUUUAUAAUGCAAGAAGUUACAGAACACAGAGUGCUCAAAACUAAGAAUGUGCUAGUUGUAUAACAGGGUCCUUCUUGGGACUCAGCCAGGAUUCAAACUAUAAAGGAAAAUCGGGUGAGCAGGUGGGAUAGUCAAGUGAUUCUAUUUGCAUGAAUAAUUUUGUGAGAUGAUACCUUCUUGUCCAGGAACAUUGAGCAGUGCUCGUGCUGGGUGGAUUGUGAUGUGGAAACCCUGGGAGAUGUCACGUCUGACAUCAACUUUCUCCCAGGUGACAGCUGCACCCUCUAAAGGCUUCUCAAAUGACAGAGCUCAAUGAAUAUAGAAGGGAAAAGUAUGAGGAUGACCUAUGAGCACAGGGUGGACAGUCUCUGCGGUGGGCAGGCAUUAGCAAAGGAGAGACCUUCUGUAUUAUGCAGAGUGGAAUUUUCCAGAGGCUACAUGAUGAGUGACGUCACGACAGAUUGAGUACAGAGCCAACUAUGAGAAUCCAGCUGCCUUCUAUUAAGGUACCCUUUCUGUGGAUACCUUCAAGUUCCAGCACCAAAUAUGAAGGCGACUGCCAUCACCAGCUCCCACCCCUACAUGAGGUCAAAUCCCUGGAUGGCAUAUAACACACUAGAGCAAUUAAGAGGAUCUAACUAAAGGUGGGGAAGGAAAAAUGUGUGUACAGAGACAGGAAGUCAUGGACACAGUUAUAUUGAAAGAUACAAUGACCUCCUCCUCCUCCUCA
rnacentral:lncRNA from 1 species